rnacentral:lncRNA from 10 species
ACUCUAUUCCAGCAAAGUCCCAGGCUAGUCACAUGCCAUGCUAAUUUCUGAAUCUGUCACCAUGACUCUGUCCAAGUCUGGCUUCUGUCGAGCUCUGAAGCCAGAACGUGAAAUUGGCCCCAUGAAACCACAUGGCCCGAAGGAUUUAUAGAAAUCUAUAUGAAUGAAUCCAUUUCAAUGUCUGGUCUGCAAGAGUACGAAGACUUGACUUCACAUACUACUUGAUGGGAUGGUUUAAUCCUGGGUUAGAGUGCUGACUGGCUAGAGGGAGUUUUCCCCCAUCAGCCCUGUAUGCACUGGACCUCCAAGACAACAAUGAAAUUAAAGACAAUUUAAUGGUUUGGGUAAUAGAUACAAAUAAAACCUUAAAUUUUGUAAUCUUAAA